rnacentral:rRNA from 1 species
AUUGAACGCUGGCGGCAGGCCUAACACAUGCAAGUCGAGCGAGCGGCGGAGGGGUGAGUAAUGUGUGGGGACUUCCCGAUAGAGGGGGAUAAAUACUGGAGACGGUGGCUAAUACCGCAUACUAUCGGAUAACCCAUAUGGUGUUGGCUAGUAGGUGGGGUAAAGUCUCACCUAGGCGACGAUCUCUAGCUGGUCUGAGAGGAUGAUGAGACACACUGCGACUGAGACACGGUCCAGACUCCUACGGAGGCAGCAGUUGGGAAUAUUGCACAUUGGGCGCAAGCCCGAUGCAGCCCUGCCGCGUGUAUGAAGAAGGCCUUAGGGUUGUAAAGUACUUUCCGCGGGGAGGCGUUCCUCGCAGAAGAAGCACCGGCUAACUCCGUGCCAGCAGCCGCGGUAAUAC